AUUGAACGCUGGCGGCAGGCCUAACACAUACAAGUCGAGCGGUAGCACAGAGAGCUUGCUCUCGGGUGACGAGCGGCGGACGGGUGAGUAAUGUCUGGGAAACUGCCUGAUGGAGGGGGAUAACUACUGGAAACGGUAGCUAAUACCGCAUAACGUCGCAAGACCAAAGUGGGGGACCUUCGGGCCUCAUGCCAUCAGAUGUGCCCAGAUGGGAUUAGCUAGUAGGUGGGGUAACGGCUCACCUAGGCGACGAUCCCUAGCUGGUCUGAGAGGAUGACCAGCCACACUGGAACUGAGACACGGUCCAGACUCCUACGGGAGGCAGCAGUGGGGAAUAUUGCACAAUGGGCGCAAGCCUGAUGCAGCCAUGCCGCGUGUGUGAAGAAGGCCCUCGGGUUGUAAAGCACUUUCAGCGGGGAGGAAGGCGGUGAGGUUAAUAACCUCAUCGAUUGACGUUACCCGCAGAAGAAGCACCGGCUAACUCCGUGCCAGCAGCCGCGGUAAUACGGAGGGUGCAAGCGUUAAUCGGAAUUACUGGGCGUAAAGCGCACGCAGGCGGUCUGUCAAGUCGGAUGUGAAAUCCCCGGGCUCAACCUGGGAACUGCAUUCGAAACUGGCAGGCUAGAGUCUUGUAGAGGGGGGUAGAAUUCCAGGUGUAGCGGUGAAAUGCGUAGAGAUCUGGAGGAAUACCGGUGGCGAAGGCGGCCCCCUGGACAAAGACUGACGCUCAGGUGCGAAAGCGUGGGGAGCAAACAGGAUUAGAUACCCUGGUAGUCCACGCCGUAAACGAUGUCGAUUUGGAGGUUGUGCCCUUGAGGCGUGGCUUCCGGAGCUAACGCGUUAAAUCGACCGCCUGGGGAGUACGGCCGCAAGGUUAAAACUCAAAUGAAUUGACGGGGGCCCGCACAAGCGGUGGAGCAUGUGGUUUAAUUCGAUGCAACGCGAAGAACCUUACCUGGUCUUGACAUCCACAGAACUUUCCAGAGAUGGAUUGGUGCCUUCGGGAACUGUGAGACAGGUGCUGCAUGGCUGUCGUCAGCUCGUGUUGUGAAAUGUUGGGUUAAGUCCCGCAACGAGCGCAACCCUUAUCCUUUGUUGCCAGCGGUCCGGCCGGGAACUCAAAGGAGACUGCCAGUGAUAAACUGGAGGAAGGUGGGGAUGACGUCAAGUCAUCAUGGCCCUUACGACCAGGGCUACACACGUGCUACAAUGGCAUAUACAAAGAGAAGCGACCUCGCGAGAGCAAGCGGACCUCAUAAAGUAUGUCGUAGUCCGGAUUGGAGUCUGCAACUCGACUCCAUGAAGUCGGAAUCGCUAGUAAUCGUAGAUCAGAAUGCUACGGUGAAUACGUUCCCGGGCCU
rnacentral:rRNA from 1 species